UUAAAUAAUAAUUAAUUUAUUUAUAAAGAUAUAAGAAUUAUAAUUAUUAAUAAAGUAUAGAGAUAGAAAUAAAAAUAAUAAAAGUAGAAUUCGUACCUUUUGCAUUAUGGAUAUACAAGAAUUAUAAUUAAUAUUUUAUUCUCGAAAUCUAAAUGAGCUGAAAUAUUAUUGUUUAGAACUGCUAAGUAAUUGUUGCAUUAAUUUUUAUAAAUAUUAUUUCAGAAGUUAAAUAUUAUUCGCAUUAGAUAAUAGCUAGUUUCUAUAAAAUUUGUUAAUUAAUAAUAUUAAUAAUAAUUAAUUAGUUGGGGAUAAGCUCUACUAUUUAUCCUAUUAAGAAUAAUAAGAUAAAAUAAAUAAGCUUAGAAACAGCUAUUAUGAUUACUUUAUCGUAAUAUAAAAUAUAAAGUUUUUAUAUGGAAUGAUUAUAUAGAAUUUUAUAAAUUAUAGUUAUAAUAAUAUAAUGUAUAUAUUAGUAAUAUUUUACAUAAAAUUAAGGAACUCGGCAAUUUUAAAUUUCGACUGUUUAACAAAAACAUUUCCUUAAGAUAUAAUAUUUAAGGUCACUCCUGCCCAAUGAAUUUUCAAUGGCCGCAGUAUACUGACUGUGCUAAGGUAGCAUAAUAAUUUGUUUAUUAAUUGUAAACUAGAAUGAAGGGAAUUACGAAAAUUUUACUGUCUCAAUUUUAUUUAUUAAAAUUAAUCUUUAGUGUGAAGAAGCCUAGAUUAAAUUGUAAGACAAGAAGACCCUAUAAAGCUUUAUAUUAAUAUAAAGUUUAUUUAUAAAAUAUUUGAUUGGGGCGAUCGAUGAUUAUAUUAAACAUCAUUUAAUUACUAUGAUAUAUAAAUCUUAUAAAGACCCUUUAUUAGAUCAGAAGAUUAAGUUACUUUAGGGGUAACAGGCUAAUUUUAUAUUGGAGUUCAUAUCUAAUAUAAAGUUUGGCACCUCGAUGUUGACUUAAGAAACCUAUAAGACGCAAGAGUUUUUAUUAGGAGGUUUGUUCAACCUUUAAUAUCUUACAUGAGUUGAGUUCAGACCGGCGUAAGCCAGGUUAGAUUCUAUCUACAAUUAAAUUAAUAUACUAUUUGCUGUACGAAAGGACCCAGUAGUAUCUAAAUUAGAAAUAAAUUAUCAUAUUUU
rnacentral:rRNA from 1 species